rnacentral:rRNA from 1 species
UACGUAGGGGCAAGCGUUGUCCGGAUUUAUUGGGCGUUAAAGAGCGUGUAGGCGGCUGGGUAGGUCUGCUGUGAAAACUCGAGGCUCAACCUCGAGACGUCGGCGGAAACCCUCCAGCUAGAGUCCGGAAGAGGAGAGUGGAAUUCCUGGUGUAGCGGUGAAAUGCGUAGAUAUCAGGAGGAACACCUGUGGUGUAGACAGCUUACUGGACCACUUCUGACGCUGAGACACGAAAGCGUGGGUAGCAAACAGG